CUUAUUAACAUGUUUUCUGAGCAGGAAUAGUUUACAGAGAAGAACGCUGGACCAAAUGGUGGAAAAAAGAGCAAUGGAAAACGGACUACACUGAUAUGUGAUGAAGACCUUUACAAAGCUGUAAUGAUUGCCAAGGUUCUUGAUUACCAUUACGGUACUUAAUAGAAAAACUUCAUUUCAAAAAUGUUUUCCAACUGUCUUAAAUCCUAUGUGCAAAGAGGGAGAAAAAAAAGAAAGGACAAACAAAACAGCAAGUGCCAAGACAUGGAAACAACCAAAGUGUCCUUCG